rnacentral:rRNA from 3 species
AGACCCGAAACCCGGUGAUCUAGCCAUGGGCAGGUUGAAGGUUGGGUAACACUAACUGGAGGACCGAACCGACUAAUGUUGAAAAAUUAGCGGAUGACCUGUGGCUGGGGGUGAAAGGCCAAUCAAACCGGGAGAUAGCUGGUUCUCCCCGAAAGCUAUUUAGGUAGCGCCUCGUGAAUUCAUCUCCGGGGGUAGAGCACUGUUUCGGCUAGGGGGCCAUCCCGGCUUACCAACCCGAUGCAAACUGCGAAUACCGGAGAAUGUUAUCACGGGAGACACACGGCGGGUGCUAACGUCCGUCGUGAAGAGGGAAACAACCCAGACCGCCAGCUAAGGUCCCAAAGUCAUGGUUAAGUGGGAAACGAUGUGGGAAGGCCCAGACAGCCAGGAUGUUGGCUUAGAAGCAGCCAUCAUUUAAAGAAAGCGUAAUAGCUCACUGGUCGAGUCGGCCUGCGCGGAAGAUGUAACGGGGCUAAACCAUGCACCGAAGCUGCGGCAGCGAACGUAUCACCCAAGACAACUUUACGGAGUUGACGAUUGACGGAGCGAAGCGACGUCAAAGCGUUCAUUAAAGUCGAGUUGGCUUAGGGAUACGUUCGUUGGGUAGGGGAGCGUUCUGUAAGCCUGUGAAGGUGUGUCGUGAGGCAUGCUGGAGGUAUCAGAAGUGCGAAUGCUGACAUAAGUAACGAUAAAGCGGGUGAAAAGCCCGCUCGCCGGAAGACCAAGGGUUCCUGUCCAACGUUAAUCGGGGCAGGGUGAGUCGACCCCUAAGGCGAGGCCGAAAGGCGUAGUCGAUGGGAAACGGGUUAAUAUUCCCGUACUUGGUGUUACUGCGAAGGGGGGACGGAGAAGGCUAUGUUGGCCGGGCGACGGUUGUCCCGGUUUAAGCGUGUAGGUGUGUGUUCCAGGUAAAUCCGGUUCACUUUAACACUGAGGCGUGACGACGAGGCACUACGGUGCUGAAGCAACAAAUGCCCUGCUUCCAGGAAAAGCCUCUAAGCAUCAGGUAACAUCAAAUCGUACCCCAAACCGACACAGGUGGUCAGGUAGAGAAUACCAAGGCGCUUGAGAGAACUCGGGUGAAGGAACUAGGCAAAAUGGUGCCGUAACUUCGGGAGAAGGCACGCUGACACGUAGGUGAAGUGAUUUACUCAUGGAGCUGAAGUCAGUCGAAGAUACCAGCUGGCUGCAACUGUUUAUUAAAAACACAGCACUGUGCAAACACGAAAGUGGACGUAUACGGUGUGACGCCUGCCCGGUGCCGGAAGGUUAAUUGAUGGGGUCAGCGCAAGCGAAGCUCCUGAUCGAAGCCCCGGUAAACGGCGGCCGUAACUAUAACGGUCCUAAGGUAGCGAAAUUCCUUGUCGGGUAAGUUCCGACCUGCACGAAUGGCGUAAUGAUGGCCAGGCUGUCUCCACCCGAGACUCAGUGAAAUUGAACUCGCUGUGAAGAUGCAGUGUACCCGCGGCAAGACGGAAAGACCCCGUGAACCUUUACUAUAGCUUGACACUGAACAUUGAGCCUUGAUGUGUAGGAUAGGUGGGAGGCUUUGAAGUGUGGACGCCAGUCUGCAUGGAGCCGACCUUGAAAUACCACCCUUUAAUGUUUGAUGUUCUAACGUGGACCCGUAAUCCGGGUUGCGGACAGUGUCUGGUGGGUAGUUUGACUGGGGCGGUCUCCUCCUAAAGAGUAACGGAGGAGCACGAAGGUUGGCUAAUCCUGGUCGGACAUCAGGAGGUUAGUGCAAUGGCAUAAGCCAGCUUGACUGCGAGCGUGACGGCGCGAGCAGGUGCGAAAGCAGGUCAUAGUGAUCCGGUGGUUCUGAAUGGAAGGGCCAUCGCUCAACGGAUAAAAGGUACUCCGGGGAUAACAGGCUGAUACCGCCCAAGAGUUCAUAUCGACGGCGGUGUUUGGCACCUCGAUGUCGGCUCAUCACAUCCUGGGGCUGAAGUAGGUCCCAAGGGUAUGGCUGUUCGCCAUUUAAAGUGGUACGCGAGCUGGGUUUAGAACGUCGUGAGACAGUUCGGUCCCUAUCUGCCGUGGGCGCUGGAGAACUGAGGGGGGCUGCUCCUAGUACGAGAGGACCGGAGUGGACGCAUCACUGGUGUUCGGGUUGUCAUGCCAAUGGCACUGCCCGGUAGCUAAAUGCGGAAGAGAUAAGUGCUGAAAGCAUCUAAGCACGAAACUUGCCCCGAGAUGAGUUCUCCCUGAGACUUAGAGUCUCCUGAAGGAACGUUGAAGACGACGACGUUGAUAGGCCGGGUGUGUAAGCGCAGCGAUGCGUUGAGCUAACCGGUACUAAUGAACCGUGAGGCUUAACCUUACAAC